rnacentral:tRNA from 2 species
GUCCGCGUAGUUCAAUUGGAUAGAAUAUCAGAUUUCGGCUCUGAGGGUUGAGGGUUCGAGCCCUUCCGCGGACGCAA